rnacentral:rRNA from 1 species
UACGUAGGGUGCGAGCGUUGCCCGGAUUUACUGGGCGUAAAGGGCGCGCAGGCGGCUCAUUUUGUCAGGCGUGAAAGCCCCGGGCUUAACCUGGGAACUGCGUUUGAUACGGAUGGGCUAGAGUUCGGGAGAGGAGAGUGGAAUUCCCAGUGUAGAGGUGAAAUUCGUAGAUAUUGGGAAGAACACCGGUGGCGAAGGCGGCUCUCUGGACCGAGACUGACGCUGAGGAGCGAAAGCGUGGGGAGCAAACAGG